UCCGAAAAUACUUGUCAUCAAAAUGGACAAAAAGGGAUGUAUCUAAAACUAAAAUACAUCUAGAUACAUCCCUUUUAUCCAUUUUGAUGACAAGUAUUUCCGGA
rnacentral:pre_miRNA from 1 species